GGGGACAGGAGGGAGAGGGCUGGAUAGAGUCUGAUCGUACUGUAUUUAAGGAAUGGGGGAGUUGAUGAUCGAGGUGCUUUGUUUUAUGAUAGACAGAAGAUGAAGUGGUGUGUUCUGCUGGCCUUGCUGCUGCUCAGGCUUGCCCCUAUACCAGUCAGAGCUGGAGUCCAUGGCAGAUGAAGCUCUUGUCGUGUCCAUGUCCCAAGUCAACAAUCUGUACGCUGGCCUUCGUCUAUACCGAGUCACCCAUGGCUCUGUCAAAAGGAAUUUGGCAAUACAUCCAAGAGGCUUCACAACCGCGGACCACGUGUAUGGCGUCGAGUGGUUUGCUGAUGUCAACGUUGUGAGUGCCCCAUAGUGGCGGUUGUUACUUUGGGAUAAAGGAGACAGACUGUCUGAAGAAGACCCACAGAGAUGUGCUUUCAGAGUGGGCUUCUUUGUGGUGAGACCCGAUCCUCGAUUAAUGGCCAAAGAAAAUAUCUGAUUUGUCAAAAGACCAAUUAGAGAAAAAAAUAUCAAUUGUCAUCGCAGCCUAUGAACUCAGUACAUGAAAUAGAUCCGGGGCUGUAUCAAGCAUCUCAGAAUACGGGUGAUGAUCUAGGAUCGGUUUUCCCUUUCAGAGCAUAAUUAAUAAAAAUACACUAUGGACAGAGAGGACAUGAUCCUAGAUCAGCACUCUACACACUACUUUGAGACUGAAAUGUUCGUAUAAACAACCACACUGACACAGUACAAUAAAUAAUUCCUCCAAUACGCAGCUGAUGAAGGAUUGGGACUGAUAAAUACAUCUCUUUAGCAAAUGACUUUCUUGACCCACAAAUCAAAUAUCUUUUCUAAAUCUUGGACCAGAUGAACAGGAAAAAUAGCUACAUGAAGUGCAGUAGCUGUAUUUUACAUCAAUACCGGAUAACAAUAUGAGCAAAUUGUUUGUGUUUUGUCCUAGACACAGAUUGCUGUGGGGUUCAUCUAUAAACUGACGGUUUUUAGGACAAUCUCUACUGUUGACAGACUCCACACACACUGUUGAUUUUGGCAUGGGAUGCUGUGUUUGUUGUGACAGACGGGAGAACAGAAUGUCACAAUAUUAGUUUCUCUCUCUGCCCUUGAUCAUUCCAACUGUACUGGUGCCUGUUAUAAAAGCUAGAUGUAUAGAUUUUUUAGAUAGAGAAGCCUUCAUACUGAUCAAAGUGCUUUAUUGUAUGCCCAUUCUUUCAACUGCCACUAAUCGUCCCCUUCCUCCCAGCCGGCCACCUCCUGCACCACAUGUGUGCGUGCCGCUUCAGAGCUCACUCAGGUUGUGGCCAGAACAACUCCGAGUCCAGUAGUGAAGAGGUGAGAGAGAGGGGAUGCCCAAUAGAUGAAGAGAAUAGAAGGAUGUUUUCACAUUAUUCCUCUUUAAAAGAGCCAAUCUCAGUCCUCUUUAAAGUGAGCUCUGGGGAUUUGAAUGAGGACUCAGCUCCUUUGCCAGUUCACUUCAACUUUGUUGUCAAUCUUUUUUGCAUUCAAAUUGCUUUGCUUAGAAAAGAACCAAGAUUUUUUUCUAACAACAUUUACUCAAUGCACAAGCCAUACCAUCAGAACCUGUUAUCGGACAGCCAGGGGUGUCCCUACAUACAUUUUGGAAGCUAAUAAUGUAGUUUGCAUUUGGUUACAAAAUAAUCCAUAUAAAAUGUACAUGUAAAAAUGACUGGUUACAGGAUAAAUGGAAGAACAAAUAAUGCUUUAAUUGGGCUCCCGAGUUGCACAGCAGUCUAAGGCACUGCAUCUCAGUGCAAGAGGCAUCGUUCAAGUCCCUGGUUCGAAUCCAGGCUGUCCCCCAUAGGGCAGCGCACAAUUGGCCCAGCGUCAUCCGGAUUUGGCCGGGGGAGGUCGUCAGAUUUUAUUCUUAACUUACUUGCUUUGUUAAAUAAAGGUUACAUUUUUUUUUAUUAAACUGGGAUAAGCAAUUUCCUAAAUGUG